AGAGUUUGAUCCUGGCUCAGGAUGAACGCUAGCGGCAGGCUUAAUACAUGCAAGUCGUGGGGCAGCAGGUUUGUAGCAAUACAAAUGCUGGCGACCGGCAAACGGGUGCGUAACACGUACGCAACUUACCCAUUACAGGGGAAUAGCCCAGGGAAACUUGGAUUAAUACCCCAUAUUAUAUAGGAUUGGCAUCAGUCUUAUAUCAAAGCUUCGGCGGUAAUGGAUGGGCGUGCGGUUGAUUAGAUAGUUGGCGGGGUAACGGCCCACCAAGUCUACGAUCAAUAGCUGAUGUGAGAGCAUGAUCAGCCACACGGGCACUGAGACACGGGCCCGACUCCUACGGGAGGCAGCAGUAAGGAAUAUUGGGCAAUGGACGAAAGUCUGACCCAGCCAUGCCGCGUGAAGGAUGAAGGACCUCUGGAUUGUAAACUUGUUUUAUCUGGGGCGAAAAUCACCCUUUGUAGGGUGCUUGACAGUACCAGAGGAAUAAGCACCG
rnacentral:rRNA from 1 species